GGGCUCGUAGCUCAGUGGUAGAGCAGCUGGCUUUUAACCAGUUGGUCGUAGGUUCGAUCCCUACCGAGCUCACCA
rnacentral:tRNA from 1 species